rnacentral:rRNA from 1 species
GUGCGGUAACGCGACCGAUCCCGGAGAAGCCGGCGGGAGCCCCGGGGAGAGUUCUCUUUUCUUUGUGAAGGGCAGGGCGCCCUGGAAUGGGUUCGCCCCGAGAGAGGGGCCCGCGCCUUGGAAAGCGUCGCGGUUCCGGCGGCGUCCGGUGACGUCUCGCUGGCNCUUGAAAAUCCGGGGGAGAGGGUGUAAAUCUCGCGCCGGGCCCCCGCGCACGUUCGCGGGGAACCC